rnacentral:rRNA from 1 species
UAGGGAAUUUUCCACAAUGGGGGCAACCCUGAUGGAGCAACGCCGCGUGCAGGAUGAAGGCCCUAGGGUCGUAAACUGCUUUUCUCUGUGACGAUUUUGACGGUAGCAGAGGAAUAAGGAUCGGCUAACUCCGUGCCAGCAGCCGCGGUCAUACGGAGGAUCCAAGCGUUAUCCGGAAUUACUGGGCGUAAAGAGUUGCGUAGGCGGCAGAGUAAGUAGAUAGUGAAAGCGUGAGGCUCAACCUCAUAAA